rnacentral:rRNA from 1 species
GGGGAAUAUUGCGCAAUGGGGGAAACCCUGACGCAGCAACGCCGCGUGGAGGAAGAAGGUCUUCGGAUUGUAAACUCCUGUCUUCUGGGACGAAAAAAAUGACGGUACCAGAUGAGGAAGCCACGGCUAACUACGUGCCAGCAGCCGCGGUAAUACGUAGGUGGCAAGCGUUGUCCGGAAUUAUUGGGCGUAAAGGGCGCGUAGGCGGCAACCUAAGUCAGAUGUGAAACCCCGGGGCUUAACUCCGGACGUGCAUUUGAAACUGGGUAGCUAGAGUGCAGGAGAGGAAAGCGGAAUUCCUAGUGUAGCGGUGAAAUGCGUAGAUAUUAGGAGGAACACCAGUGGCGAAGGCGGCUUUCUGGACUGUAACUGACGCUGAGGCGCGAAAGCGUGGGGAGCAAACA